rnacentral:tRNA from 2 species
GGAGGAGUACCCAAGUGGUCUAAGGGGGCGGUUUGCUAAACCGUUAGUGGCGAAAGCCAGCGUGGGUUCAAAUCCCACCUCCUCCG